UACAGAGGUGGCGAGCGUUGUUCGGAUUUACUGGGCGUAAAGGGCGCGUAGGCGGCCCCGUGUGUCGCGUGUGAAAUCCCCGGGCUCAACCCGGGAAGUGCGCGCGAAACUGCGGGGCUCGAGCGGAGGAGGGGAGAGCGGAAUUCAUGGUGUAGCGGUGAAAUGCGUUGAUAUCAUGAGGAACACCGGUGGCGAAGGCGGCUCUCUGGAAUCCUGCUGACGCUGAGGCGCGAAAGCCGGGGGAGCAAACAGG
rnacentral:rRNA from 1 species